UACUGCAUGGGCGGCACUUCCCAA
rnacentral:miRNA from 14 species